GAGCGCCUGCGAGCCGGGCGGACGUGCGCGAGUGCCUGUGACGUCAUCCCCCACUGACAUGGAUCUCGCUGAAACCCUGGGCGUGUGGAGAUGAGCAGUGCCCCCGGCCCAACCCUUCCCCCGCCCCGCACCCCGCCCCGCCCGCGAGAUGCUCUCUCUGCUUUCUCUACUGCUUCUAACAGCCCCUUCUGCCCGCGCGUCAUCCAGCUCGGAACGCGCGCCUUCCCCCCGCGCGCCUCCCCCGCUCGACGAAGAAUUACUACGCGAUGCGCCCCUCUACCCACCGCUACA